GAGAAGAACGUAGCGAAAUGCGAUACGUAAUGUGAAUUGCAGAAUUCAGUGAAUCAUCGAGUCUUUGAACGCACAUUGCGCCCUCUGGUAUUCCGGAGGGCAUGCCUGUCCGAGCGUCAUUGCUGCCCUCAAGCACGGCUUGUGUGUUGGGCUCCGUCCCCCGAUCCCGGGGGACGGGCCCGAAAGGCAGCGGCGGCACCGCGUCCGGUCCUCGAGCGUAUGGGGCUUUGUCACCCGCUCUGUAGGCCCGGCCGGCGCUUGCCGAUCAACCAAAUUUUUAUCCAGGUUGACCUCGGAUCAGGUAGGGAUACCCGCUGAACUUAAGCAUAUCAAUAAGCGGAGGA
rnacentral:misc_RNA from 1 species